AUACUUACCUGACACCGGAGAUACCACGAUCACAAAGGUGGUUCUCCCAGAUGGAGGCCUGACUAUUGCACUUCGGUUGGGUUGAAAUCUGCGGCCGCUGAGGCGUGACUCGGGUGUCAAUUUAUGGUAGCGGGGGACAGCGUACGCGCUUCCCCCA